UGUUACCCCAUUGCCAGCAACAAAUGGACUCACUUCUGGCUCUGUAAACCAAUGUGGUGGAAACCUCUCACUUGCUUUUGGUUCCCUCUCUGGGCCAUAUUACCCUGGAAACAAUGUCAGUAUGCAGUGUGUCUGGGAAAUUGAAGUGAGCCCCUUAGAUCACAUC